rnacentral:rRNA from 1 species
UGGGGAAUAUUGCACAAUGGGGGAAACCCUGAUGCAGCGACGCCGCGUGGAGGAAGAAGGUCUUCGGAUUGUAAACUCCUGUUGUUGAGGAAGAUAAUGACGGUACUCAACAAGGAAGUGACGGCUAACUACGUGCCAGCAGCCGCGGUAAAACGUAGGUCACAAGCGUUGUCCGGAAUUACUGGGUGUAAAGGGAGCGCAGGCGGGAAGACAAGUUGGAAGUGAAAUCCAUGGGCUCAACCCAUGAACUGCUUUCAAAACUGUUUUUCUUGAGUAGUGCAGAGGUAGGCGGAAUUCCCGGUGUAGCGGUGGAAUGCGUAGAUAUCGGGAGGAACACCAGUGGCGAAGGCGGCCUACUGGGCACCAACUGACGCUGAGGCUCGAAAGUGUGGGUAGC